GGGUGGAUAGCUCAGUGGUUAAGAGCACAGAUUGCUCCUCCAGAGGUCCUGAGUUCAAUUCCCAGCAACCA
rnacentral:tRNA from 1 species